rnacentral:rRNA from 1 species
CCUACGGGGGGCAGCAGUGGGGAAUAUUGGUCAAUGGACGCAAGUCUGAACCAGCCAUGCCGCGUGCAGGAAGACGGCUCUAUGAGUUGUAAACUGCUUUUGUACGAGGGUAAACGCAGAUACGCGUAUCUGACUGAAAGUAUCGUACUAAUAAGGUUCGGCUAACUCCGUGCCAGCAGCCGCGGGAAUACGGAGGAUUCAAGCCUUUUCCGGAUUUAUUGGUUUUAAAGGGUGCGUAGGCGGUCUGAUAAGUUAGAGGUGAAAUCCCGAGGCUCAACUUCGGAAUUGCCUCUGAUACUGUUCGGCUAGAGAGUAGUUGCGGUAGGCGGAAUGUAUGGUGUAGCGGUGAAAUGCUUAGAGAUCAUACAGAACACCGAUUGCGAAGGCAGCUUACCAAGCUACUUCUGACGUUGAGGCACGAAGGCGUGGGGAGCAAACAGGAUUAGAUACCCGAGUAGUC